AAGCCUUUCUCAGGUAUUAGACCUGAGUACUAACAGGGUCACCUGGUAAACAAACCUUUAGAAAGAGGAAAAGGAAAAAUACAAGAAUGGAAUGGUCUCUCUACAGUUUUCUCAGCAUGCCAUUUCUAUUAUAAUUAUCUUAACCAUCUGUUUUGCUUGGAACAGGCAAAAGAAUUUGAUAUUAAGAAACAAAAUUCAUUCUGUACAACAGAGAAGGGCUUCAGAAAUGAGACUUUAUUUCAGAAUACAAGAGUGGAUAUCAAUUUUAUCAGAGGUUUCAUCUGUGAAGUAGAAUGCCAGUAUUUGACCAUUACUGUUUUGAAAAUCAGUGGCUCAUGUAGUUUUGUAAAUAAAAAU
rnacentral:lncRNA from 1 species